rnacentral:rRNA from 1 species
UGAGGAACAUGACUUUCGGCGGGGGAUAGCCGGCCCAACGGCCGGGUAAUACCGCGUACGACCUUUUGGGGACAUCCCUGAUUGGUGAAAGCAGGAAUGCGCCGAAAGAGUGCCUCGCGGCCUAUCAGCUAGUUGGUGGGGUAAUGGCUCACCAAGGCGACGACGGGUAGCUGGUCUGAGAGGAUGGCCAGCCACAUUGGGACUGAGACACGGCCCAGACUCCUACGGGAGGCAGCAGG